rnacentral:tRNA from 1 species
GCCCAAGAUAGUUUAAAAAAAAACAAUGAUCUUGUAAAUCAUAAUUUAAUUUAAAAUCGUUAUCUGGGCU